GUGCAUAUGAUGGAAAAAUUGUAACCUCCUGAGACUUAUGAUGUCUUCAAAGGAACCGCUGAUGCAC
ensembl:snoRNA SNORD42 Small nucleolar RNA SNORD42